GCUGGUGGCUCAAUGGUAGAGUGCUUGCCUAGCGUGUGUGAGGCACUGGGUUAGACUCUCAGCCCUGCA
rnacentral:tRNA from 1 species